GAGGGCGUGGCUUCCAGCGUUUGGCGCGGCCUUUGUCUCUGGCUCAGGCCGGAGCCUGAGAUCCAUCUCUACUGUCCCGCGUGUUGCCCCUCGGGAGCACUAGGUGACUUUGUCACAUCCUCUGUUGCCCUGAGAUCUGGAGGUACUGGGAAAUGCAUAGCUAAGAUGCCAGGACAUCCUGGAAACCAGGAAAUGUUUGUCUGCAUCUUGUUAUUGGGCCACAAGAACACACAGCCAGACCCAGUUUGGUCCAGGAACAACAUCUGGCAAGCUAGCCAAGAGUCACUGAAAUGGUGCUGCACUCAGUGGCCCGUGAUUGUGGCGAGAUGGUCAUUUGGAGACUCCCAGAAGCUGCUGGAUAAGAUUGUCCUGGGGACUCUCCCAGGGGCUAUUCCAUGUGCAAAAACCACAUGUCCCUCUCACCACUGGGGAAGAAUGGUGAUCAGGCAGGAGUGGAUGCACUCAAAGGAGGAAUGACACAGAUUUUGCAGGAGACCGCCACCCAUUUCAGCCUGGUGAUCAAGUGCUGCUGAAGGAAUGGAGGGAAGCUGAUCCUGCCCAACAACUACAGGAAAAAUGGAAAGGGCCCUACGAUGUGCUGUUGACUACUGACUUGGCACUGAAGCUGACAGGCAUCAAACCCUGGGUUCAUCAUAUGAAAAGUCUUUCUCUAGGACCUGGAAAUGAUUGCUCGGAAAUGUAAACAGCAAAAAAGUUAGAGCCCUAUCGCACAGCUUGCUCCAAGUUUCAAAAUUACCUUCUGUCCCUCCUGGACUUGGGACCAUUAUUUUUCCUUCAGAUAUGCCAGUCAGCAACCACAGAUGGCCUCCCCAAUUACCAGACUCACUCAGACAUUGCUGCCUUCUCCAGCCUCUUUAAACUUUAAAGGCCAGCAGAGAAUGCUAUGUUUCAGGAUGGUGAUUGGUGGUUUUCACUUUGGACCAUAAGCAUCCGUAUUGUGGUAAGAGUGUUGGGUUGAGUGACUCAGUGCUGUGCCUGCUUUCUCCACCUGAGUGCUACUGAUGAUGGGUCUGGGGGAGCAGCAUGAGCAUUAACAGGGGACUUACUAAAAAUAGGAAGAAUAGGAAGAUACAGACAAAUAUUUCUUAUUUGUCUCACGUGUAUGAGGAAUCUAAAAGGUUGAACUCCUAGACGCAGGGAGUACAAAGGUGGAUACCAGAGCCAAGAGGUAGGGAAAAUGGAAGAUGUUGUUUAAAGGGUACAAACUUUUAGUUAUAAAUAAGGUUCGUGAAUCUAAUAUAUAGCAUCAUGAUUAUAGUAGAUAAUAAUGUUUUUGUAUACUUGAUACAAUAAAGGAAACUAUGUAAGAUGAUACAUGUAUUCAUUAACUUCAUUGAAUUAAUUAUUUCACAACUGGCAGGGCACAGUG
rnacentral:lncRNA from 1 species